UACGUAGGGCGCAAGCGUUGUCCGGAAUUAUUGGGCGUAAAGAGCUCGUAGGCGGCCUGUUGCGUCCGCUGUGAAAUCCCGGGGCUCAACCCCGGGCGUGCAGUGGAUACGGGCUGGCUGGAGGCAGGCAGGGGAGAACGGAAUUCCUGGUGUAGCGGUGAAAUGCGCAGAUAUUAGGAGGAACACCGGUGGCGAAGGCGGUUCUCUGGGCCUGUACUGACGCUGAGGAGCGAAAGCGUGGGGAGCGAACAGG
rnacentral:rRNA from 1 species